rnacentral:rRNA from 1 species
CAAUAGCGUAUAUUUAAGUUGCUGCAGUUAAAAAGCUCGUAGUUGGGUUUCGGGUGGGAAUGGCCGGUCCGCCGUUUCGGUGUGCACUUGCUACGCCCACCUUGCUGCCGGGGACGUGCUCUUGAAUUCACGCUCGGGACACGGAGUCGGCGAGGUUACUUUGAGUAAAUUAGAGUGUUCAAAGCAGGCCUACGCUCUGAAUACAUUAGCAUGGAAUAACACGAUAGGACUCUGGCCUAUCUUGUUGGUCUGUAGGACCGGAGUAAUGAUUAAGAGGGACAGUCGGGGGCAUUCGUAUUUCAUUGUCAGAGGUGAAAUUCUUGGAUUUAUGAAAGACGAACUACUGCGAAAGCAUUUACCAAGGAUGUUUUCAUUAA